UUGGGGUAAGGGAGGUGCUGAUGUGGAGGCUGAGGCCAGGGGUAAGGAAGGUGCUGAUGUAGAGGCUGAGGCCAGGGGUAAGGGAGGUGCUGAUGUAGAGGCUGAGGCCAGGGGUAAGGGAGGUGCUGAGGUAGAUGGCCAGAGAUAAUGGUGACUCAGGCUGAAGCCACAGAGACAGACAGAGACAGAGAGGGGAUCAGUGAGACCAAUGGCCCUCCUGAUGGGUCCUGCCCUGCUGAAACAUUCAUGAAGCCUUAUGACCCUCUCUUUCUCUCAGUCUUCCCUCCCCCUCCUUCUCUCUCUAUCUCUCUCUUUCUCUCACUCUUGCGCGCUUUAUCGGUCUCUCUCUCUCUCUCAUCCUAUCUCUCUCUCUCUCUCUCCCUCUCUGUUUUCUCCUCUCUCGUUCCUAAUGUACCCUAACAAGACUUUAUGGCCUCUCUGGCCCUAGCCACACCUAAGGGGCCUUCCUGGCAUCUAACUCCUUAACACCCCCAUCUCUCCGCGCCCUACAGUACACACUCACUGCAUUUUUAAACAUGACGCCGGCCCAGUGUGAAGCAGCAUCAGCGCAUAUCUGACAUGAGUGUUGGGUGAGGAUGGACGAGGUUGGACGACCCAUAAGGGGUCAUUGGAACGGAAAAUCUUUUUCUCAUUUGUGUAUUGUGCUAUUUUUUUUACAGUGUGUAUAAAAUAAACAUAUUAAAUGCUAAAAGCUUAGCUAAAAAAAACGAAACUUUCUGUACUUCCUAAGUUUCUUUUUUUGCAUACCUCCCUGAUAUUGAUUGCUCUCUUUCGGUUCGGACAGCUUCACGGGUCAAAUGGAAUUUUUUUUUUUUUUUGCUGAGUUGGCUUUUCACUUCUCUCUUUGCCUCCCGCUCUUUCCCUUUCCUACACACGUGGACAGAGGAAUGCACAGUGGUGGAACCUGACCCUGCCGGCUACCAAUUGAUCUGUUAAUGUUUUUUCACUUAAAACGGUGCCCCCCCCCAUCCCCAUCCCCCCUCCCACACACACACACACAUUAAAUGUUUAAGCUUUGACAGCUGAUAUCAACAUCCGUGCCAUGCUUAAAGUGGGAGAGGAGGAGAGAGGUGAGGAUGGGAGGAGAGGAGAGGAGGUGACCUCAGGUUGUCAUUGGACAGAGGCGUGCUCACCACUGGACAUCAGGGAGAUCCUCCAUUACUCUGCCCCCGGAUGGGUGUCACUGAGCUUGAAGGGGGGAGGGGGGCAGGGGCAAGUGUCCCAGAGUGUGCCCCCCCCCCCCCCCCCCCCCCCUCGGGGAAGGCACCAAAGAGCGUGUUUGACUGGUCCCCAGCUCUGGUUCUGUGUUUACACUCACAUGUUAAAAAGGCCAUAUGCUCAAUGGGUAUGCGUUACGGUUUGGGUUUCGGAACUCCUUACCACCCCACCCCUGCACUACACACACCACACACACACACACAGAGACACACACACGC
ensembl:lncRNA